rnacentral:rRNA from 1 species
GGGGAUUUUGGCACAAUGGGCGCAAGCCUGAUCCAGCAAUGCCGCGUGCAGGAUGAAAGCCUUCGGGUUGUAAACUGCUUUUGUACGGAGCGAAACGGCUUCCCUUAAUACGGGGAGCUAAUGACGGUACCGUAAGAAUAAGCACCGGCUAACUACGUGCCAGCAGCCGCGGUAAUACGUAGGGUGCGAGCGUUAAUCGGAAUUACUGGGCGUAAAGCGUGCGCAGGCGGUUAUAUAAGACAGAUGUGAAAUCCCCGGGCUCAACCUGGGACCUGCAUUUGUGACUGUAUAGCUAGAGUACGGUAGAGGGGGAUGGAAUUCCGCGUGUAGCAGUGAAAUGCGUAGAUAUGCGGAGGAACACCGAUGGCGAAGGCAAUCCCCUGGACCUGUACUGACGCUCAUGCACGAAAGCGUGGGGAGCAAACAGGAUUAGAUACCCUGGUAGUCCACGCCCUAAACGAUGUCAACUGGUUGUUGGGUCUUCACUGACUCAGUAACGAAGCUAACGCGUGAAGUUGACCGCCUGGGGAGUACGGCCGCAAGGUUGAAACUCAAUGAAUUUGGGACGGG